AACGAACGCUGGCGGCAUGCCUAACACAUGCAAGUCGAACGAGACCUUCGGGUCUAGUGGCGCACGGGUGCGUAACGCGUGGGAACCUGCCCUUAGGUUCGGAAUAACUCCCCGAAAGGGGUGCUAAUACCGGAUAAUGUCUUCGGACCAGAGAUUUAUCGCCUUUGGAUAGGCCCGCGUUGGAUUAGCUAGUUGGUAGGGUAAAAGCCUACCAAGGCGACGAUCCAUAGCUGGUCUGAGAGGAUGAUCAGCCACACUGGGACUGAGACACGGCCCAGACUCCUACGGGAGGCAGCAGUGGGGAAUAUUGGACAAUGGGCGAAAGCCUGAUCCAGCAAUGCCGCGUGAGUGAUGAAGGCCUUAGGGUUGUAAAGCUCUUUUACCCGGGAUGAUAAUGACAGUACCGGGAGAAUAAGCUCCGGCUAACUCCGUG
rnacentral:rRNA from 1 species